UGUGGGGAGAAGUGCGUCUCCCCCCAGGCCCGGGGGCUUGGGGCCCUGCUCCGGUCCUGUCCUGCUGUCUCUCCUGU